UACGGGGGGGGCAAGCGUUGUUCGGAAUUACUGGGCGUAAAGGGCGUCGUAGGUGGCCAACUAAGUCGGACGUGAAAUCCCUCGGCGUUAACCGGGGAACUGCGUCCGAUACUGGUUGGCUUGAGUUUGGGAGAGGGAUGGCGGAAUUCCAGGUGUAGCGGGUGAAAUGCGUAGAUAUCUGGAAGGAACACCGGUGGCGAAGGCGGCAUCCUGGACCAAUACUGACGCUGAGGAGCGAAAGCCAGGGGAGCAAACGGG
rnacentral:rRNA from 1 species